AGUUGGUGACCAUUUUUCUCCCAUGGCUGUAUAACCCUUUCGAUAUCCUUGGAUUGCACAGCUUUGGUAGGAAGCUGGCCACCAUCU
rnacentral:pre_miRNA from 1 species